rnacentral:rRNA from 1 species
AAAUUGAAGAGUUUGAUCAUGGCUCAGAUUGAACGCUGGCGGCAGGCCUAACACAUGCAAGUCGAACGGUAACAGAAAUCAGCUUGCUGAUUUGCUGACGAGUGGCGGACGGGUGAGUAAUGUCUGGGAAACUGCCUGAUGGAGGGGGAUAACUACUGGAAACGGUAGCUAAUACCGCAUAACGUCGCAAGACCAAAGAGGGGGACCUUCGGGCCUCUUGCCAUCGGAUGUGCCCAGAUGGGAUUAGCUAGUAGGUGGGGUAACGGCUCACCUAGGCGACGAUCCCUAGCUGGUCUGAGAGGAUGACCAGCCACACUGGAACUGAGACACGGUCCAGACUCCUACGGGAGGCAGCAGUGGGGAAUAUUGCACAAUGGGCGCAAGCCUGAUGCAGCCAU